GGCUUGCUCUUUGUGAUGUAGUACUUCAGGGACAGGACCUGCUGAGCAGAGUUUGGGGAAGGCUGGCUGAGCUUCUCACGGAGCUGAGUCUUGAGUUCAGGUGCCCGAAUGGCAGUGGAAAGAUGCAUCCUGACCUUUCAGACCCUCUGAGUGGUCUUAGAAAUCGCUUCAAGCUUCCUGUCCGGGAUACAAGUGCCUAGGGAAAGGCGGCAGUGGUUUCAUGUUCUGUAAGAAGAUGGACACUACCAUGAGCUCUCCUGCAAGACCCUACAGAUUCCAAGCCACUGACUGCUCUUCCAAAGUUAAAGCCACCUUUAUAGAGAGGCUGCGGGAAGCAACCAGGAAGGAGGCCCCUCUUGUUGGCCAGAGGCGGAACCACCUUCCCAGGUGUCCUAGGAAACUGCUAAAAGGUCACGAGGAAGACGUCAUGGGCCCCGGGACAGAAACAGCAGCUGGAACCAAGAAACAACUAGAGUAGAUUCCAGUCCUGCGUCUGUCAGACUGAGACGCAGCUGUAUUUCGGGAUGAGAUUGGCUUUGUUCUGUCCUCUCCUGCGUAUACACAGUCCGGGCUGCUUUUGACUGAUGGGCUCUCUUUUUUUCUGCCUUUGCUCUAAAAAUUGUUUUAUUCAAAGAACCCCCAAACAAAAUUGCUUUCAAAAGAAUAGUUCUGUGCUGAAAUUAUCCUUGCAUGUUAGCAAAUGGUGUCCCUGUAGAUUGUCUGAAUUUCCAUCCCAUGAUACCUAGUAAAUGGGGCCAUGCAGUUUGAUUUGUGUAAUUCUGAUCCUUAGAUUAAAAAUACAUCUCUCUCUCACUCAUGCUGUUUUGAAGUUUGGAACCAUGGCAUGGCCUGGAUCACAUUUGCUUAGCUACUGAAGCGAGCUCAAUGUGAUAGCGCGUGGAGUUGAAGUAGAAUCAAACACACAUUAUACCUGGGGCUCUUGCACACAAUUUGAUAUUAUCUGUUACGCUACAAAGAAGUACGAACUUUAUAGGUUGAAACUUUGGUUCCUGUAUGAUCCUGCGGCUAGAAUAGUGGAGACAUUAUAAAUAUCAGAUACCCGGAGCAUAAGCUAGUCAACAGUCAGGGGGCACUUUUGAAAUGCCUUUUCCUAAAACAAGCAUGAAAUGGAGAUCAGCGGACCUCGUCAACAGUCUGGUGCUUGGGUCUCUCUGUGGAUCGGUCCAUUUGGGAGGAGAUGGAGCACAGGGCAGGCUUCUGUGAAUGAGCGGGUUUAUGGAAAUUGUUGCGUUCCUGACUCACGUUCUGUAACUGUGCUUGUCCUUCAAUAAAGUUUCUUUCAUUGA